GACCAAAAAAUGAGACAUCUGAUAAAAUUGGAACGAUACAGAGAAGAUUAGCAUGGCCCUUGCACAAGGAUGACACACACAAAUCGAGAAAUGGUCCAAUUUUUG
rnacentral:snRNA from 1 species